rnacentral:rRNA from 1 species
UACGUAGGGGGCAAGCGUUGUCCGGAUUUAUUGGGCGUAAAGAGCGUGUAGGCGGCCAGGCAGGUCCGCUGUGAAAACUCGAGGCUUAACCUCGAGACGUCGGUGGAAACCGUCUGGCUAGAGUCCGGAAGAGGAGAGUGGAAUUCCCGGUGUAGCGGUGAAAUGCGCAGAUAUCGGGAAGAACACCCGUGGCGAAGGCGGCUCUCUGGGACGGUACUGACGCUGAGACGCGAAAGCGUGGGGAGCGAACAGGAUUAGAAACCCUAGUAGUCC